rnacentral:rRNA from 1 species
UACGUAGGGGGCUAGCGUUGUCCGGAAUCAUUGGGCGUAAAGCGCGCGUAGGCGGCCCGGUAAGUCCGCUGUAAAAGUCAAAGGCUCAACCUUUGAAUGUCAGUGGAUACUGCCGGGCUAGAGUCCGGAAGAGGCGAGUGGAACUCCUGGUGUAGCGGUGGAAUGCGCAGAUAUCAGGAAGAACACCCGUGGCGAAGGCGGAUCUCUGGGCCUUGCCUGACGCUGAGGCGCGAAAGCUAGGGGAGCGAACAGG